GUUCGUCUUCAGGGGCAGGGUGAAAUUCCCGACCGGUGGUAUAGUCCACGACCUAUUUUGAUAUGAUGUUAAAAUAGCUGAAUUGGUGAGAUUCCAAUACCGACAGUAAAGUCUGGAUAAAGAAGAUAGGG
rnacentral:ncRNA from 2 species